rnacentral:rRNA from 4 species
CAGGUGCAUGCCUCUAGCAUGAAGUCAGAC